rnacentral:rRNA from 1 species
GACGAACGCUGGCGGCGUGCCUAAUACAUGCAAGUAGAACGCACAGUUUAUACCGUAGCUUGCUACACCAUAGACUGUGAGUUGCGAACGGGUGAGUAACGCGUAGGUAACCUGCCUGGUAGCGGGGGAUAACUAUUGGAAACGAUAGCUAAUACCGCAUAAUAUUAAUUAUUGCAUGAUAAUUAAUUGAAAGGUGCAAUUGCACCACUACCAGAUGGACCUGCGUUGUAUUAGCUAGUAGGUGAGGUAACGGCUCACCUAGGCGACGAUACAUAGCCGACCUGAGAGGGUGAUCGGCCACACUGGGACUGGGACACGGCCCAGACUCCUACGGGAGGCAGCAGUAGGGAAUCUUCGGCAAUGGAUGAAAGUCUGACCGAGCAACGCCGCGUGAGUGAAGAAGGGUUUCGGAUCGGAAAGCUCUGUUGUAAGAGAAGAACGGGUGUGAGAGUGGAAAGUUCACACUGUGACGGUAUCUUACCAGAAAGGGACGGCUAACUACGUG